CCUACGGGAGGCAGCAGUCGAGAAUCUUUCACAAUGGGGGCAACCCUGAUGGAGCGACGCCGCGUGGAGGAUAAGGUCUUCGGAUUGUAAACUCCUGUCAUGCGUGAACAAGGCUGCGAGGAUAAUACCUUUGCAGAUUGAUGGUAGCGCAAGAGGAAGAGACGGCUAACUCUGUGCCAGCAGCCGCGGUAAUACAGAGGUCUCAAGCGUUGUUCGGAAUCACUGGGCGUAAAGGGUGCGUAGGUGGCGUGGUAAGUCAGAUGUGAAAGCCUGGGGCUCAACCUCAGAAUUGCAUCCGAUACUGCUGUGCUAGAGUACUGGAGGGGUGACUAGAAUUCUCGGUGUAGCAGUGAAAUGCGUAGAUAUCGAGAGGAAUACCAAAGGCGUAGGCAGGUCACUGGACAGUUACUGACACUGAGGCACGAAGGCCAGGGGAGCG
rnacentral:rRNA from 1 species